GCCGGUGUGGCUCAGUGGUUAGAGUGUUGGCCCGUGCACCAAAGGGUCAUGGGUUCCAUUCCCAUCAAGGGCA
rnacentral:tRNA from 1 species